UUUUAUCUCUGCUAAUUUGAACUUCAUAAAUCUAUCACAUAUGCAUAUCUAAUUGUGUUACACAGAUCCAAAAUCUUCAUAUCACACACAUACAAACAUACUUCCAGAUUAAUAAUGAUAAAUAAUUAAAUGAUACAACAAAUACCAUUUCAUAUCCGCGACUUUUUGUAACUCCCUGUCGGCUGCAUCAGCGCCGCCAACACUCAAAUCCACCAUGGCCACCGCUCACCGGACCUCUGUUCCCUCACCGAAAACAACCACCAAGAGCCGGCUUCCAAGCUUCCACCUGAUCUUCUUUUCUUCAACUAAAUCUCGAUUUGAUCAUCAAAACCCUAUAUUAAUAAUAAAAACCCGAUCCAAUUUUCUUUCUGGCGAAACCCUUGCUCCAUCAAAAUUCUGAUCUGUUCUCCAACUUCCUUUGUUAUGCUACGGUAGGAUUUUUUUUUAAAGUUAAUUGAUUCCAACAUGGGAUUUGUUAUGCUAUGUGUGUUUGACUGAACUAGAUCGAAAAUAUGCAAUGGAUGGUGAUGGGCUGAUGGCUAGAUCCGUUUUUCCAGCUGCCAUAUUGGCCGGAUUUUGGCCGGAAGUCGCGGUAUCGGAAUUCAUGUUAGGUCGUGAUCGUUGAAGAUUUCUGGACACUCAAACUCGUCAAAUACUUAUAAUUCAAUAUUAAUUUGACGAUUACAAGGCAAAGGUGAACAGAUGAAUCAAAGACAUGUUGGAUGAUAAUUGAUUGUUUGCAUGCUAGGAUUUGACUUGGACUUUACUGUGGAUCCGUGAUUCAUUGUCCCUGCUUAUGGGUUAUG